rfam:Stegodyphus mimosarum contig93742, whole genome shotgun sequence.
GCCUUCGUGGUGUAGUGGUCUGCAUAUUCGACGCGUAACCGAGAGGUCCGGGGUUCGAUUCCCGGCGAAGGCG